GAGAUGAUUGAACCCAUGAUAAGGAUUUACAGGUGAGAUGAAUGAACCCUGUAGGACCAUAAUAAGGAUUUACAGGUGAGAUGAUUGAACCCUGUAGGACCAUAAUAAGGAUUUACAGGUGAGAUGAUUGAACCCUGUAGGACCAUAAUAAGGAUUUACAGGUGAGAUGAUUGAACCCUGUAGGACCAUAAUAAGGAUUUACAGGUGAGAUGAUUGAACCCUGUAGGACCAUAAUAAGGAUUUACAGGUGAGAUGAUUGAACCCUGUAGGACCAUAAUAAGGAUUUACAGGUGAGAUGAUUGAACCCUGUAGGACCAUAAUAAGGAUUUACAGGUGAGAUGAUUGAACCUUGUAGGACCAUAAUAAGGAUUUACAGGUGAGAUGAUUGAACCCUGUAGGACCAUAAUAAGGAUUUACAGGUGAGAUGAUUGAACCCUGUAGGUCCAUAAUAAGGAUUUACAGGUGAGAUGAUUGAACCCUGUAGGACCAUAAUAAGGAUUUACAGGUGAGAUGAUUGAACCCUGUAGGACC